rnacentral:lncRNA from 1 species
UGUGAAGAAAAUGUGUGGAAACACCACUCAUUACAGAUCCUUGAUUGUCUUUUUAAAAGAUUUGUUUUGCCUGAAUGCAGUCCACAUAUAAGACAGAAGAGGGCACCAGAAGCCUGGGAACUGGAAUUAUAAUUCGUUAUGUGGCACCAUGUGGAUGCUAGGACCUGAACCCCAAUUCUCUACAAGCAGAGCAAGUGAUCUUAAGCACAAACCCAUAUCUCCAUACCCACAUUUAGAAUCCUUCAGUUAGUGAGAAAAACAAUAUGAUCUACAUUUUGUUCUAUUUUUCUGAAGCAAUGAAAAGGUCACAGCAGAAUUAUGUAUUAAUCACACAG